rnacentral:tRNA from 1 species
GUGUGGCUCAGUGGUAAAGCAUUUGCUUGGCAAAUAGAAGGUCCCAGGUUCAAUCCCAGGCAUCUCCC